rnacentral:rRNA from 1 species
UACAGAGGGUGCAAACGUUGUUCGGAAUUACUGGGCGUAAAGAGCGUGUAGGCGGCUCGAUAAGUCCGCUGUGAAAGUCCAGGGCUCAACCCUGGAAGGCCGGUGGAAACUGUCGGACUAGAGUCCGGAAGAGGCAAGUGGAAUUCCCGGUGUAGCGGUGAAAUGCGCAGAUAUCGGGAGGAACACCAAUGGCGAAGGCAGCUUGCUGGGACGGUACUGACGCUGAGGCGCGAAAGCGUGGGGAGCAAACAGG